CUCAAUCAGAGCUCAAUGAGCAGCAGCACUCUCCCUCGAUAAGUAAAAUCAUCUGGCAUUAGAUGAAGUGAAAUAAACUAGUAAAGUAGGGUGCAUUGGGGCACAAUGCAGCUUACUGGGUUAACUGGAAAAUAUAUUUAUUUAAACAAUACACACCCUAUACUUGUAUUUCAAUUCAUAGCAUGAUUUGGUAUGCUUAUGUCUAUUUGACCCAAGUACCAGACAGGAAUGAUAUUUGAAUCACACCUGUAUUCAUUGAACAAAGCUAAUUUAAAUGUGCAUUAAUUGUACAUGAAUCAUGUAAAUGUAAAAACUAGAGCAAAAACACACCCACACAGCUUUGUUUUUUAUUUUUCUUGAGAAGGAAUAACUGAGUUACAAUGAGACCAGUAUCAACAAUUUCAAAAAGGUAUUGUACAAAAAUAUUACAAACAUAAGACACUUUAAAGACAGAAAACACACAAAGUAUGUCACUACAGAAACUGUAUUCUGUGAUAUAGACGAUAUUGCUUUAAGGAAACUUGCAGCUUUUAAGGGCCUGUUUAUAUCGAAACUGGCUGGCCCGCUAAGUGAGACAGCCGGUAAGUGAGAUCUCGCUGUCUACUUAUUUUUAUAGUAAAAAUUAUAAUUAAAAUUGUUUCUAUGUACAAGCGGGAGGCCCGGUUGCAGAGACCAGGAUGGAAAUUUCUCCAUAUAAACAAUCACAAGCAGGCUAGCCCAGUUGCCAGGAUGAAAGUUCAACGAUACUGCCGCAAGCUAUUUUUAACAACUGUCAAAACAAUGUCAAAACAACAAAAUUGUCCCGGUAAGCGGGAUGAAAUGUUCUCAAAUAAAUCCUGCUUAUCUACCUUACCGGGCUGUCUCGCUAAGCGGGCCAGCCCGGCUUCCAUACAAACAGGACCUAACAGUCUCUGUCAGGC